rnacentral:rRNA from 1 species
GACGGGGCCCGCACAAGCGGUGAUCAUGUGUUCAAUUCGACGCUACGCGAAGAACCUUACCUGGGCUCGAACGACUAGUGGUACCUUUAUGAAAGUAGAGGGGACCCGCAAGGGAGCUAGCCGAGGUGCUGCAUGGUUGUCGUCAGCUCGUGUCGUGAGAUGUUGGGUUAAGUCCCGCAACGAGCGCAACCCCUGUCCUGUGUUGCUACUCCGCAAGGAGAGGACUCUCAGGAGACUGCCGUGGAUAACACGGAGGAAGUGGGAUGACGUCAAAUCAUCAUGGCCUUUAUGUCCAGGGCUACACACGUGAUACAAUGGUACAGACAGAGGGCUGCAAGACCGUAAGGUGGAGCCAAUCCCUAAACUGUAUCCCAGUUCAGAUCGAGGGCUGCAAUUCGCCCUCGUGAAGUUGGAAUCGCUAGUAAUCGCAGAUCAGCAGGCUGCGGUGAAUACGUUCCCGGGCCUU